rnacentral:tRNA from 1 species
GUAGGAGUGGCUGAGCGGUCGAAAGCGCCGGAUUGUAGCUCCGGUAUUCCACACGGUGGUUCGAAUCCAUCCUCCUACA